rnacentral:ncRNA from 1 species
AAGGUAGAGGCGCUGUACUUAAUAGUACUAACAUAUAGCUGGCGAGCAAUUAUAUGUUAGGAAAGGAAUUACAGCCGAAGGUAGCAUAUAGGCAUAUAAGCUAUCUGGACUUAUGCAAAACAUGUAUAAGGCUGUCACUUUUAUU